rnacentral:sRNA from 1 species
AGAUCACGAAGAGCCCUGUGGUCCCAGUCACAAGUCGUUUUGCCUGAAUGGGGGGCUUUGUUAUGUGAUACCUACUAUUCCCAGCCCAUUUUGUAGUCUACUCUACACGAAAAUGAAAAUGACAACAAUGAAGACCUUUAUGAUGAUCUACUUCCACUUAAUGAAUAGUAA